AGACAGCAGUCGCCGCGGUAAAACGGAGGGUGCAAGCGUUAAUCGGAAUUACUGGGCGUAAAGCGCACGCAGGCGGUUUGUUAAGUCAGAUGUGAAAUCCCCGAGCUUAACUUGGGAACUGCAUUUGAAACUGGCAAGCUAGAGUCUUGUAGAGGGGGUAGAAUUCCAGGUGUAGCGGUGAAAUGCGUAGAGAUCUGGAGGAAUACCGGUGGCGAAGGCGGCCCCCUGGACAAAGACUGACGCUCAGGUGCGAAAGCGUGGGGAGCAAACAGGAUUAGAUACCCCUGUAGUCCCUGUCUCUUAUACA
rnacentral:rRNA from 1 species